UCGGAUAACUUAUACCAACAGCCUGAUCGACCUGAAGUCGCCCGUGUUUUUAUUCAUUCUUUUAAAACUGCAGUAUUUCCACUUACCUGCUCCUCCUCCGCUGAUAAAGUGGCCGCCAUUCUUCACGUCUGUUCAAGCCGAACCUCAGUAGAUGUCUUCUUGUGCUCCAGGAUCUGCUGCAUUUGGUGGCUGGCAUAAUCAGGCUUGGUGGUGAGAGGGGACUGCGGCACCUCAAUGCCUAGGAUGUCUGCCACCAUGUAGGGUCUGAGCCAGCCCACCAGAGGGGUGCUGCCAGGGGUGUAAUGAGUCUCACGGUGGUAGAAAAGGAGACCAUCCACCUGGAGAGGAACAAUGAAUGAAUGAAUAAAUGAAUGAAUGUG